AAAGGAGCGAGCUGGUCAGCAGAGGCUUCGGAGCAGCUGCUCUCAUAAGUCGGCGCAACGUCAACGUUUCCUUAAUCGGAAAAGAGAACUCUGGCCUGGGCUUUGCUCAACAUCUCCGAGUUCGUUUGCGUUACCGCACCAAACACCCAUAAUGAGCAUUUAUCUCCGUGUCCAGGUACGGGAAUAUUAACCCGUUUCCCUUUUGAUUGCCAGGAUGGAGUUACCACGGGGAUAACUGGCUUGCGGCAGCAAAGCGUCCAUAGCGACGUUGCUUUUUGAACCUUUGACGUCGGCUCUUCUUAUCAAGCAGAAUUCGCCAAGCAUUGGACUGUUUACCCACCAGUAGGGAACGUGAGCUGGGCUUAAAUCGCCGCGAGACAGAUUAGUUUUACCCUAUUAUU
rnacentral:ncRNA from 1 species